CGCGCCAAAACCAAAUUAAAGAAAAAAAACCCUUCCCCGGAUCAGCACCACCACCGCCUAAGUAUUUCCCCACGUUCUCCAUCUUCUUUCCUUCUCCCACCACGACUUCCACAGUUAAGAUUGAGUUCCCAAUCGCACUCAAGAACUCAAGAGUUCAAUCCCAAUCCAAGUUGACUCAAAUCGAAAUUUCCCAAAUCCAAAUUACAGAGUUCUCUUCAAUCCAGAUCCAGAUAUUUCCGUAUGUAUCUUCUUCUCCGGCGAACGUUGGCGGCGAUUAUUAUCCGGCGAACAUAUUUCCCCGAUGCGUGUGAUUGAAUUAUCAAUUGUGAAUUUCUUCUAAAUUAGCUAUUCAAUUGGGUUUUCAAAUUUUCAAUUGUAAAUUUGCAGUUUUAUAGCAAUUUGAUAUGCCUGUUUAUCACCCAGUUAUACUGGAUGUUGGGGUUUAUUAGAAAUUUUUGAUUCUGUGAAUGUUAGAAACUUUCUGAUUCUGGAAAUUUUAGAAAUAUUAGUUUUGGAAUUAGGAGUUACAACGUCGUUAUUGUUCUUUUUGAUUCUCAUGGUCUUCAUCUGAAGUUGGAACAUACUUUUGAUAUUUAAGGGUUGCGGGCUUAUGAUAUUACUUGGGAUUAUUGGAUGUAUGAGUAGUUCAGCACUGGUAGUUCAUUCUUUCGUUUCAUAGGUGUAAUUUUAAUGGACCAUUAGAUGUAUGAGGUUGGGUUCUGUUGAGGAUUUGCUGGACUUGAGUAUUUGAAACUCCCACGAGACCUAUCUGUUAAGCCUGUCUUCGUAGUCGCACCUUGUUGGCCUUGUGUUCUUGUCUUCCCUAUGAGCUUUUUAGCCCGCAUAGUACCAUUCGAACCCCUAGAUUACUGCCCCAUGUACUGUUGCUGCUAGUACUACUGCGACCACUUUGACUGCCAUAGCCUCUACUACUUCCAGCCCGUAGAGAUGCAAGAAUACUCCGUAGCAAGCUCUUCUCCUUGCUUAGAUUUUGGUUCCUCAUCAUCAAUGGCCAUGAUUAACAGCCUGUUUUCUAAUCUCAAGGGCCCUUGUUUAGAUACAGAACUGAAGCUAAAUUGAACCAAACCAUGGCAGUUACGUUUUACUUAUGAGAUAUCAGACCCUAAUCAAAUGCAUACAUCUUGUUUAGGUCAGAAAUAGAAUCCUCCAUGCUACCCUCUAAUAUAUUUUUAUCCAAAUUUACUAUCUACACUAAUAAGAGUUAUCUUUAGAAACCAUUUCCUACAAGUAGCAUUGAUUCAUUACGGAGUUCAACAAUAUUCCAAAUUGUUUCUCCGUGUGACCCUAUUUCCACCACAUAUUUUAACAGUUUCCUUGCUAAUGAUCAAGCUAGGAAUAUCACCACCAUGAUUUUUCCUUGUGAGUUUGGAGAACAAGAAAGUAAUUAAACGAGUACUUGAAAAAUGCGAACCUGCACCUGCUGGAUAAUUCAAUUCAAGUUCAAAGAAGUUCCCUGUUGAGCAUCUUGAGCAGUUGGGUCAGCUCCAGCAGCAAGCAAUAACCACACCAAUUCUCUUCUCUCUACAGCACAGAUAAUUUAAAUCAAGUUAGAGCGUCUCCCAUUCCUUGUAAGGCCCUCUAAAAGAAUAGCAGAAACAAAACCAUGUCACAGAUUUUAUGACGAAGCUUACAGUCUUGGAAGCCCUGACUUCAUAAUCAUAUAUUGGUUGAUUUUAGGGUAGCCAAAAUUGAGAUAACCCAGUUUAGGUAGCGCAUUUAUAUGUGUAUUUUACAGCUUAGAAGAGCUUCAUGAUGAGUGUUUGAGUGCCUCAGACCCUUAGAGCUCCGUCUAAUUUUUCUUUCCCAUGUUCUCCAUCUUCCUUACUUCUUCCACCAUAACUUCCAUCUGGUUCCCAACAAUAGUUCAAUCCCAAUCCAAGUUUACUCUCCGAAAUUUCUCAAAUCCAAAAUUGUAGAGUUCCCUUCAAUCUAAAUCUACAGUUUUUCGUAUUUUCAAUUUUUCUCCGGCGAACGUUUCUCUGCAGCGAUGUAUUAUCUGGCGAACAUAAGCGUGUGGUUUAAUUAUAAAUUGGCAGUUACAAUUUAGCAAAGCAAGGGCGUGACUUAUUACCAGUGAAGCUGUGAAUCAACACACAUUGACAUAACCAAUCAAGGCUGUUGACAAACUGUAUGAAGCAUUAGACAAAUGCAAAGAUACACUGACUGAAGCAAAUAUACGUUUAUUUGUAACUCUAGUUCUGUUUGAUGAGGUAAAAUGACUGCGUAGUAGUGGAUUCAUUAGUGCUAGUCUUACUGUUCAGGAAAUUCAGUUGUCCAAAACCAUGUUUCAGAAGUCAUCAGUUAUCGGCAUUGGUUAAGUUUACAAAUUUGGGUACUUUCUGAAAGUUCAAUAUUCACUCAUUUUCUGAAAAACAGUGCAUUGAAUCCCUGGUCCAAUGUGUUUAUGUGGGCUGUGUAUGAUCUCAAGUGUUCCUAAAGAAUCUUAACCAGUGUCUAGGUCUCUGGGGAAACUCGCUAAUGAUCCUCUUUAGUUUCUAUGGUACAGGAUUCUAUUAGAAUACGGUUGAAUGAAAUAUCACUUGCUGAUUUUUUAUACAUGUUACAUGUCUUUGUGAGGUUCCGUACAGCUUUUGUAGCACCUAGCUCUCGCGUCUUUGGAAGAGGUGAACUUGUAUUAGAUAGGAAGGAGAUUGCUAGGAGGUAUAUCAGAUCAGGUUUCUUCAUUGAUCUCAUUGCAGCUUUACCUCUUCCUCAGAUUGUGAUAUGGUUUAUAAUUCGAGCAAUUAAGCUGUCUAAAUCAAGAAUUGAAGCACCUAUAAUGCACUCCAAUUGAUUGUUUUCUUCCAAUAUAUUCCACGGUCUUAUCUGAUAUUCCCUUCGAGUGUUGAGAUUAUAAAGUCUGCUGGUGUUGUCACGAAAACAGCCUAGGCAGGAGCUGCUUAUAAUCUUAUGUUCUACCAAGUGGAUACAGAUACAAUGUCCUCGGCAAAAGAAUGUCAUGGAUUCUGGAUAAUAUGUCAUGAGAUACAUGAAAGAGAUCAUCGACCAUAAGCAAACUCGAAUAUUUGAAGAUUACUUUCAUGAUUGCAAUAUUCCGAAUUACGAUCAAGGACAAAUUGAUGAAGUCAGAGCUCAAUGGACCUGUCAUGUUCUUCUCGUGUGAAUAUUGUGAUGUAUUAAUUAUGUUUUUCGACUAGAAUUUCUCUAGAACGUUUUAAUUUUAUUUUAUUGGUUUAAAAUUAAAAGAAGUACUAUAUGACAAGGAUACUUCUUUCUGUUUUCUAGUGUGUUUUUAUUCUACUUGUAUUUAGGCAUAUAUGAUUUUAAGUUAUGCACGAGACAUCGAGAAGUUUAUUUGAUAUGAUAGAAAUGAAGUUGAAUCUUAUAUAUAUUCAAUUUGA